AUUGAACGCUAGCGGGAUGCUUUACACAUGCAAGUCGAACGGAGUGGCGGACGGGUGAGUAAUAUAUCGGAACGUGCCCAAUAGCGGGGGAAAACUACUGGAAAGAGUGGCUAAUACCGCAUACUAUGAGAUCGGCCGAUAUCGGAUUAGCUAGUGGGUGGGGUAAAGGCUCACCAAGGGAACGAUCCGUAGCUGGUCUGAGAGGAAGACCAGCCACACUGGGACUGAGACACGGCCCAGACUCCUACGGGAGGCAGCAGUGGGGAAUUUUGGACAAUGGGGGAAAGCCUGAUCCAGCCAUCCCGCGUGUAUGAAGAAGGCCUUCGGGUUGUAAAGUACUGUUGGCAGAGAAGCGGUAUCUGCAGAAUAAGCACCGGCUAACUACGUGCCAGCAGCCGCGGUAAUUC
rnacentral:rRNA from 1 species